rnacentral:other from 1 species
UAUUGACUGCCCCGUGCGUUUGUCAGUCGGGUAUAUCCCUUGAGCCUAAUUUCAUACCCCGGGGAACUUGAUUUGUUGGUGAUGUGUGCAUGUCCGCUACGGGCGGAAAGCCUGAUUUACUAACAUUCUCCCCACCUGAACCCACCGGUUCAAGGUAGCACGCUGACGACGGCGGUGGUGGUUUAUAC